GAGCUAAUACAUGCAAGUCGAGCGGACAGAUGGGAGCUUGCUCCCUGAUGUUAGCGGCGGACGGGUGAGUAACACGUGGGUAACCUGCCUGUAAGACUGGGAUAACUCCGGGAAACCGGGGCUAAUACCGGAUGGUUGUUUGAACCGCAUGGUUCAAACAUAAAAGGUGGCUUCGGCUACCACUUACAGAUGGACCCGCGGCGCAUUAGCUAGUUGGUGAGGUAACGGCUCACCAAGGCAACGAUGCGUAGCCGACCUGAGAGGGUGAUCGGCCACACUGGGACUGAGACACGGCCCAGACUCCUACGGGAGGCAGCAGUAGGGAAUCUUCCGCAAUGGACGAAAGUCUGACGGAGCAACGCCGCGUGAGUGAUGAAGGUUUUCGGAUCGUAAAGCUCUGUUGUUAGGGAAGAACAAGUACCGUUCGAAUAGGGCGGUACCUUGACGGUACCUAACCAGAAAGCCACGGCUAACUACGUGCCAGCAGCCGCGGUAAUACGUAGGUGGCAAGCGUUGUCCGGAAUUAUUGGGCGUAAAGGGCUCGCAGGCGGUUUCUUAAGUCUGAUGUGAAAGCCCCCGGCUCAACCGGGGAGGGUCAUUGGAAACUGGGGAACUUGAGUGCACAAGAGGAGAGUGGAAUUCCACGUGUAGCGGUGAAAUGCGUAGAGAUGUGGAGGAACACCAGUGGC
rnacentral:rRNA from 1 species